rnacentral:lncRNA from 1 species
CUGCCCCUGGGGAAGGGUCUCUGAUUAGAGAGUCCUUCCCUUGUGGAGUUUUUGCUGUGAGCCUAAAUCUUCAGUACUGUUCAAUGGUGCUGAUUUCAUCCCAACACCUUCCUGGUCAUCUCUUCCUGCUCUCAGGCAAUCUGCUUAACUGCAAUGAAAAGGCUUAAUAUUGGAUGACUCAUUACAGGACUUAGAGCUAUAUCCAGUGCUUAUUCAGCCUUCACUCUCAAAUGUCCUUCAGUGCAAGGAGUUGAAUGCAUAUUGCUGGGCUUUCUUAAGCCAAAGAAAGGAUGGGAGGGACCAGCCUUCCUCUCUUUGUCAACUGCAUCUUUGAUCCGUACCUGCUUCCAGCAGCAGAGGAGUAAGGGUGAGGUGGCACAGGACUGGGGAGAGAGCUUUGUACUGAAUGGAGGACUGUGCCUUGUGGGUACUCUGCUCAUAAAGGACCAAGACACAGGCAACAGAAGGUACACAGCAGCAAUGCAGUUUGAUAUCUGGCAAAAUUUGGAGGAUCAGAAAGGAGUACAAGAGUUUGAAACAUAAAGACUAGACAGUAACUGCAGUGCAUCCAAUGUCUAGGUGGUAUGCUUCUGUGUGGAGCCAUGAGUUAAACUCGAUGAUCCUUGUGGGACCCUUCCAACUUGAGAUGUCCUAUGACUGUAUGAUUCUAUGAUUUUCUACAGAUAUGUCAAUUCUAUAGUUUGUCUUUAGAGUCUUUAAUUAAAGUAAACACAGACUGUGUGGGGAUGUGGUUCUCCAUGUGCUGCUGG